CUAGUACUCCCUCCGUCUCAAAAUUCUCGUCUUAUAUUUGUUUAGAUAUGAAUAUAUCUAGUCAAGUUUUAGUAUUUAGNNACAUCCAUUUCUAGACAAAGCUAAGGCAAGAAUUAUGGGACGGGGGGAGUAUAUU
rfam:Hordeum vulgare subsp. vulgare, WGS project CAJW01000000 data, contig: morex_contig_9342